rnacentral:lncRNA from 1 species
AAUUAGAGAAGAAACUUUAGUCAGUAAAAGUUGGGGGUGGGGUGACUAGGGACUAAACUAGUUUCAGUCACCCAUUAGUCAGGGGUGUUUGGAGGUUUACUGACUAAAGAUGACUACUACUAGUCUCUAGUGAUCCAAACACCCUCUUUGUCAUCAUCCACCAACAAAAAGAAGGCUUUGCCAUCAGCCACCACGUGCACUAGACGACAAAUGCAUGGUCAGUUUCAUUCAAGUUGGCUUUUUUCACACAUUUAUUCAACUUGAUUGAAGUACAAUAUGCAAACAAGACAAUGAAAGAGCUAAAGUUACAAAAUAUCCUGGGAUAUUAACACACAGAACCCUAAAAUAAAAAUAAAAAGCAAUCGACCCCUUCUUCUCCACUACAGAGCUUUGUUUGCCCUGCCCCACGGAUCCGACGCUCGUCGCN